CAGCGGCAGGAGACAGGGAGAUUCAGGAGCUCAUCAAUAGGAGGACUUAUCAGUACAUGCUGUGCAUUGAUAGCUCCAGUGCUGGAGCUUUUCAAGACAGAUUUUAGCAAAAUGAUGGGGUCAAUUAAAAGAAGAUGAGGUGAAAAUACCUGAAAAAAAACACCAAGAGCUACAGUACACCAAGCUGCAUUUUUAAAAAGAAGCCAUAAAGACAAAAAAAACACCACCUAAUAAUAAUGAAAGACGCCAGUAGCAAAAAAAAA